UGUUGUGGUAUACGUUGUCUUUUCAAGGGGU
rnacentral:piRNA from 1 species